CCUACGGGUGGCUGCAGUAGGGAAUAUUGCUCAAUGGGGGAAACCCUGAAGCAGCAACGCCGCGUGGAGGAUGAAGGUUUUCGGAUUGUAAACUCCUUUUGUUAGAGAAGAUAAUGACGGUAUCUAACGAAUAAGCACCGUCUAACUCCGUGCCAGCAGCCGCGGUAAUACGGCGGGUGCCAGCGUUACUCGGAAUAACUGGGCGUAAAGGGCGCGUAGGCGGGAUAGCAAGUCAGAUGUGAAAUCCUAAGGCUUAACCAUAGAACUGCAUUUGAAACUGGUAUUCUAGAGUAUGGAAGAGGUAGGUGGAAUUCUUGGUGUAGCGGUAAAAUCCGUAGAGAUCAAGAAGAAUACUCAUUGCGAAGGCGACCUACUAGAACAUAACUGACGCUGAUGCGCGAAAGCGUGGGGAGCAAACAGGAUUAGAUACCCUUGUAGUC
rnacentral:rRNA from 1 species